AUGUGAAAAAGCCAUGGGUUUAAAGUGUAAUGUAAGUCGCUUUGGAUAAAAGCUUCUGCUAAAUGAUCAAUUAUCAGAAGAAUGCCGUGGCUGCUAAGCUCAUGCUGGAUAUGAUUCUGGUGCUAUAGCCAAACUUAGUACAAAGGAUAUUGCCUGUCUGAUUAUCUUAAAAUCAUGUAUAUUAUAUGUGUACUACUGAUAUGUAAUAUCCUUCUUACAGGGUUUUUUCUGUGCUGUAUUUGUGAUUACAGGGUAAUGUUAGUCAGGAAGAUAUUGUUGAGUCAGCAAGGCGAUUAUUAGACUUAGUAACCUCUUCUGAGAGACACCGGGGAGCCGAUGACACCAAUCAAGAUAUGAGGUUUUGUAUUAAACUGCAAUUCAUGUACAUAUGGCUUACUUUUACUUAUACAUUCUAUACAUGUUGAUGAUUAGGCUUAAUGUAUAUUUUCAGAUCCAAUCCAGCAGAGAACAGAGGCGGGGCGGGGGCGUGAAGAUGGGAGUUCAGCCCUUCAGCCAGAAAGACCCUCAGUUCAAAUGGAAAUGACCAGGUCCUUCCCAGGUAUGUUUACCAAGGCCAGAGGAAAGAGGCGCUUUCCUGCAGCAAAUCUUGUUCCUGCCAAGAGAGCAAAACCGCUUGAAGUGGCUUUGUAUUUGCUGCCAAACCCGUAGGAAAGAACUCCAAAAGAGCAGGAGCAAAUACUCCAUAUGCCGGCCCGGGUUGGGCUGUAGAACCACUCAUGUAGAUGAGAGCACAACACAUGAAGAGGUAGUAAUAUGUAAUUAGUUCUUUAGUCUAGCUUGUAUGUUUAUAUGCAUUAAUAUACAUAUUACAUUAAAGAAGUUAUUUUGUAGAUCCAAAUAUACAUUCAUGUUUGCUCAAGUGAAAUGGAGAAAACUAUGGGUUACUUCUAGUGCUUUAAAGUUAUAACCUGUUAAUCAUAAUCUGUAAGAAUUGAGAUAAACCUUUCUUUCACCCGUAAGCACAAACACAGUCAAAACUGAGUUUUCAAAGGUCACCCUGAAGGGCGUACACCUAACCUGUUUUCCAACAUUUUCGUAUAGACAGAAGGCCAAAUAUCCAACUCCAAUGCACUUUUCUGAUGACCAAAUAGCCUUUCAGAUCCGAUUGGACUGGGAACAUUCUGAGUUGGGGACACAGCCCUAAUAACAGCACCACAACUUGUAUUCAUAGAAAAAACAAUUGCAUGGAUUUUGAUGUUGUCAUUUGAUCUAAUCAAGCUAUCCCUUUUCAGAGUGUUAUGGUUAAAUACACUUGUAUAAUUUUUUUCUCACAGUUAUGUGAUGCCCUCAAAGCAUAAAGCAUCAGGUAGGCCAACACAAGUUUGUUUGUGUUGCUCAUUCGUAUAAAAAGUACAUGUGCAGCAGCUAACUGCACAUUAUGCAAUGAAGACUGUUGAUUUGAUUCAUUCAUAUUAAUUACAGAUGGUUCCCAAAUAAAACUUUAACAAAAUUCUCUUAACUCAUCUCAAGUACAUUUGUUAUUAAGACUGUCUAUGUUGAUUUCAAGGGAAAACAUUUAUUAGGAGUCUUACUGCAAGACAAAAACAAAACUACAAAGUGUUAAAUUGUAAUAACUGUAUUUGAAAAAUAGACAGUUGGCUUCUUCAGUUUAUACUCUAGUCACACAAAAAGUCUAGUUACUUUGACUUAAAUUAAAUAUAUAUUAUGUAUCCAACACACUGUUGAAAGUUUCCAAUCUAAUUUCCAUCUGUAAUGUUUUCCACAGCUGGCUGGGGAAGCCGAAAACUCUGUGUUGUGCCUCCAGAAGAUAGUGGCUUUUCAGGCAGGGUCUUGAAGGCUAUAGGUCGUUGUAAAAGUCUGUUCAUAGCCUCAAUUCAAGAAGAACUUAACACAAAUCCUCUACCACUCAAUGAUGAAGCAUUCAGGAGCAUGCCAAAAGCCAUUUGUCAGAAGUGUGGAGCAGCAGUUCCCCUUCCACUCCUGACAGAAUACAUCAAGUCUUGUGAUGUAAUUGAUGUUGACGAUAACCUGACUAAUGUCGAUAGCGGUGAGCCUGAAGAGAGAAAAUGUCAAAAUUAUUUGUUUAAGAUUUUGUUAGCAUAUUACAUAUCAUUCAUAAAAUGAAUUAAGAAACCUUUUCUUUCAAAAUAUCAUUGUUCUUUCUUGUAACUUCCAUUUCUCAGCAGCAGACAUGCAAGAGUGUCCUGUCUGUGCAGAAAUGUUUACCACUGAUUGUAUUGAGGUACACGCUUCAGCCUGCGGGGAAAGGUAUCCAUUUAGCUGCAAGAAAAAUACUGAAUUUGUCAACUGUAUAGAACGUACUAUAAGUAAGAAAUAGUGUUAACGCUCAGAACAGAAUAACUUUGCUUAAGGGCUAACAUACUCUUAAUUCAUUUGCAUUUUGUCAAAAACAUUAUUUGAAAAGAAUUACCAUAUCAAUUUAUGGUUUGUAUCAAUAUGAAUUAAAGACUGGGGUCCUGGAA